rnacentral:rRNA from 1 species
CGGGGGGGGCAAGCGUUGUUCGGAAUUACUGGGCGUAAAGGGUGCGUAGGCGGCUUUCUAAGUUGGAUGUGAAAACUCUGGGCUCAACCCAGAGCCUGCAUCCAAAACUGGAGAGCUUGGGUACUGGAGGGGAAAGCGGAAUUCCUGGUGUAGCGGUGAAAUGCGUAGAUAUCAGGAGGAACACCGGUGGCGAAGGCGGCUUUCUGGACAGUUACCGACGCUGAGGCACGAAAGCUAGGGGAGCAAACAGGAUUAGAUACCCUGGUAGUCCUAGCCCUAAACGAUGGAUACUUGCUGUGAGGGGGAUUGAAACCCUUUGUGGCGAAGCUAACGCAUUAAGUAUCCCGCCUGGGGAGUACGGUCGCAAGGCUG